CACACACUGAUCUGUGUGUGCGUGUGUGUGUGUGUCUCCAGGUCCUUUAUCCUUCAACCCUAAGUGCAGGAAACAGUUCAACAGACUGUACCACAACACCAGAGACUGCACUGUACCUGCCUAUUAUAGACGAUGUGCUCGUCUGCUGAUGCAGCUCGCUAACAGCCCGCGCUGCACUGAGAGAUAGACGUCUCUGGACGCGCAGCCUUGCCGUGACGGUGAGGAGGGAGGAGCAUCCGUGAUGUGAUGUCAUCAGCAGUGGCAGCCAAUGAGCUGAGAGAUCACAGCGUCUCCUCGUCUCCUCGUCUCCUAUCGGCUAAAACCAUAAAAACUCUUUCACUUAUCAGAUUACAGGUAAUCAGAUUACAGGUAAUCGGAUUACAUUCACUGACACAAGAUCUGAGAAUGUGGAAUAAAUGGCGCCUCCUGCGGGACAACAGUGGGUCUGUCUCUGGAGGAUGGAGGACAAACAAUGUCCCGCUCAGUGUGUGAGGACCUGAUUGAAGACACCCACUGUUAUUUUGUUACAUCAUCAUAAUAAUAACAAUAAUAAUAAUAAUCUGUGUACAACGUGAAAGAAGAAUAAAGACACUUUUGAUAUUUA